rnacentral:lncRNA from 1 species
AGCAGCAGCACAGCCAGCAGCAGCAGCCUCAGUCUUCCUAGGGGACAAGAUAUCAGACCAGACAGGCUGUGAAAGCUGUCCAGCAGAAGAAGGUCACACAGAGCCCGUCCACGUCCACCAUCACUCUGGUGACCAGCACACAGACAUCCCCCCUGAUCAGCAGCUCAGGCUGCACAAGCACCCUCACGUCGUCAGUCAGCGCCGACCUGCCCAUUGCCACCGCCUUGGCCGACGUUGACACCGACUUCGCCAAGUACUCGAGCAAAGUGGGUGGCGGGCUCCUGGUGGGCUGCUGCAUGG